AUUUUGUUCGCUUUUUUUUUGUGGGCUUAAAUUUUGUUAUUUAGCACGGCAUUUAUUUUAUUUAUUUAAAUUUGUGAGAGCUUAAGUUCAAUUUGCGCCUGUAACAAGUUGUUGUUAAUUGAAGCGCAAACAGGAAAGGAAAACAAAAGCACAGCAAGCGCACAAAAAAUACAGAAAAAUCUGAAAAACGAUGCGAACGAUGAAAACGAACAUUAGAAAACCAGAAAACCAAAAGCGUUGCCAAAAUGGCCGUCAGCACAAAAUGGCGAAGUACAAACAGAAAUUUGUUUAUGUGUGCACGCAUUAAUUUAGAAAGUUGGCCAACAGAAAAAUUGCACACAGAGCAAAGUUUUGGCCUGGAUAUUAGAGGCGGACAGGCCUAAACAAAUGUUAUGGCUGCCAAGGACAACGCAGCAGCCUCUUUGUGUGGCUUUGCGGCUCUGUGGGCCUUUUGAGACGAGGGGCAGGGUAAAAACUUUGGCGAUGCGGUCUCACUUUAAAUUCACUUAGAAGUUGAGCUUGUUCCUCUGCUGAUCCGUUUUUGCAGAGGGGAACUCUCAUUAGACCAGAGGCUUAGCACCUGAAUGCUUGUCCGAACUGAAAUGGUGUCCACACUAGAUCUGCCUAAUGGUCGUUGAAAACUUUUGACCCGCAAAUACAAGGAGAGUAAUCCACUGAAUUGAAGAAGCGUAGCUCGUUGGAGAAGGUGGAGGUGGAGUAGAGGCAGCCUCAUUCCAAUAGAUGGAGCAGAGGCCCAAGAAUAAUGGCAGCAUUCCUGCUUCGUGUUUUCUCUUUCUUUCAAUUUGGUUUUAACGGCAGCAAAAUGUGAAAAUGUCAGGCACUCAAGCAUCUCCAGCACAAGCACAAAACAAAAA